rnacentral:lncRNA from 1 species
CUUCCCUCUUCUUGUAUCCUAGAUCUCUCUCUCUCUCUCUUCUUAUCCUUUCGGCUAACAAUUAAACUUCCCUCUUCUUGUAUCCUAGAUCUCUCUCUCUCUCUUCUUAUCCUUGCGACCUUGCCUACUCCAAUGAGAGUUACCGGACGGGAUGUUCCUCUCCGGGAAGUCUGCGUUAUCUGUAGCAGCGCUCCGACAUCAUUUUCAGAUAUGUGGCAGGGCUCUCUCUAUUAGAGUUGGAUCUCGAGAUACUUCAUAUUGUGUUCAGAUCUAUGGGUUUGUGAUUAUACAGUUUCUAUGCCGUCGAAACCCAUCCCAUCUUGAGCUAUUCCCGAUUGAGCAGUCCGGUGCUUUCUCCAACUCUCUCCUACUCUUUUAGACGAAGCAAAAGAAGGAGCCUUUCACCGCUAAAAUUCCAAAGAAGCCCAAGAAGAAGGUAGAGAGGAACUGGAAUUAAAUAUCAAGGAUGAAUCUGAUGAGUUCAGAUUACCAACUGACCAGGAACUUGAACAAGAGGCGCAUCAACCUCCUGAUCUUUCACACCUUCAGGGGAGGUUAAAAGAGAGUAAGUUGUACCUCCACUAGUUUAUGUAUUAUAUGUUUGGGUUCAUAUUAUGGCUACAAUGACUUUUUGAUUGGAGCUUUAGUAGAGGUGACUGAUUGAUUCUUUAAUGUUGUGAUGGAGCUGUUGGAAAAACUUGCAUGCUGAUCUCUUAUACCAACAUUACCUUCCCCACUGUAAGAAGCAUGGUGUUAAUUUCAUCAUGAUUCAUAUAUAACUAAUCAGUCAAGUUUGUUUCAUUGAUUUAGGACAUAUUUUUUAAUUGCUAAUGUGGUGGUGGAUGGAAGCACAGUUAUCCUUUGGAUUAUGGGACACUGCAGGCUGGUCUUAUAAGCGCUUAUAUCAUAAAAACACUCUACUUUGGAAGGUAUGAGGGAACACUUCUGGAAUGUUGACCCAUUAUUUGGUGCUGCAUUCAUUUCUGUAUGUAUAAACAAUAUAUAUUCCAGGACUAGUAGUCACUUAUGGUCCAGUGAAUGAGAUAGAUUUUUUAUUGUAAUAGAAAUACAUAUACAAAGAAUAGGAAGAAAAUGAAUUUAUAGAAGAUAAUUAAGCUCAGCGUAUGCACUUACAUUUACCAUUAUAGUUUCUGGUUUUGACUUGACAUCAGCAAGAUUAAAAUCUGCUAAAAUUAUAAUGGCAUGUGUUCCUGCGCUUAUUAUAAAGUUAAGCAAAAGCUAAGUUUAUUAAAUUAUGACCAUCUGCGUAGUUAGCAAAUUUGAAUAGCAAUUAGAUGGAAAGACUUGUACUGUGGAACUAUACUUAACCAAUUUCCCUGACAUUAUGAAUUUAUGGUUCUCUUGGCAACAGGCAUUCUACAGAUCGUGAAGUUGCUCUCAUGAUGCUUAUGGCUUAUUUGUCAUACAUGUUGGCU